CAACAAACCCAACUCGUCGGCUCUCUCUCUCUCUCCUCCCUUCUCUCUCUUCCUCCAAUUCGGGGGUUCUCAAGAGGGUUUCUGAGUGAAAGAAGACGACGACAUAUUCAAUGGAGCCAAGGAUACGGUAAUGACUUAUCCCUUUCUGCUUUCAUCCCAAUCACAUAUUUGCCUUCAUUUGAUUUUGUUCUUUGGGAGCAUUAGUGAAUUGAUUAUCUAGUUGCAGGGCUACUAUUGCACACAAUUUGAUUUAUGUACUUCAAUAUUGGAUUAAUGGAUAGCUUAGGUCUAUAGGUGGGUGGGGGUAGUGGGAAGGUUGUGGACAGUGGCCCGAAUGAUCAUAUCUUCAUAUACUAUUCUGAUCAUGGUGGUCCUGGAGUACUUGGUGAGUUGCUCUUGAGUAGUCACUUGCGCGAAUCGAUUUGUCUGCUUUAGUUGUUGCGUAAGAGUCAAAUUGGUUGAUUGGCUAUUGCUAUUCGAGUUGAGCAAAUGGUGAUAUAUAUGUUCUGAAUAGUGGUUUCAAUGAUGUUAGUAAUCUAUGGAAUUUGAGAAAUAGGUCUUGAAAACUAGAUUGAAAAUUCUUUGUUGUUCUUGAGUCCUUCUGUGUUAUUUCAUUAAUAUAUUUAGUUUGUAUGUUACAGUAUUGGAAAGUUGUUGCCUUAUUCUUCGUAACUAAACUAUUAACCUGUCCUGUCUGGGUUGAGUGUCGACUCGUCAAUGAUCGAAAGUCACGGCAGGUCGUGCCAACACCUGUGGAUAUCGUACACACUUAUUCGGUGCCAGUAGCUCUGGCCCUACUUCAGUUUUUUUUUUGAUUCAAUCUAUAUACAUGUUUUUCUCUAUUACUGAUAUAGCUUCUUUUUUUUGUUGGUUAUGUGUAAAUCAAUCAAUCCCCCCCCUCCAAUUUUGAUUGCAUUCAUUUUGGACCGUUUCGAUUGGAAUAUUUGGGUAAGAUUUCAACUGUGUACCUUGCUCUGUGUACCUUUGGGUGGAGAUUCGGGCAUCUCUGCAUUUCCUGAAGAAGAUGACAUAUUCAAUGGAACCAACCAAGGGCACGUUGCAGGGCUACAAUUGCAGACAAGUAUAGAGAAUGCUAUUGAUUCAAUAUAUAUGCACGUUUCUCUCUAUUACUGAUAUAGAUUUUUCGUUGGUUAUGUGUCAUCCACCCCAAAUUUCAAUUGCAUUUUCUUUGGACCAUUUCGAUGAUUGAGCAAGGGACUGAUAUUUGUUAUCUAUUGGCAUCUAAUGAUGUCAGUAAAGUUUGGUUGCAUUAUUCUUUAUGGGUCGACAUGGGCUUAAGCACCAAAGUCCUCUUAUAAUUACCGAGAGGUCAACGGCAUUCUUAACGAAAAAUGAGAGAGGGUGGCGGAGAGUGGUGUUCUUUAGGGUUUAUGGUCUUUGUAAUUAUUUUGGGUUACUUGAUACUGACAAAGGGAGAGGAGGUUACAUGAUCGAGCUAAGAAUAUCUCUCCUGGGUUUUUCACUGAUUAAGUUCCGGGCUUUGAAAAUUUAGGGGUGGCUAAUUUCAUUUGUCAAUGUUGAACGGCUGUGUAGUGAUACAACCUGGAAUAAGGCAUGCAACUUCAUGGUCUUUGUGUCUUGUGGAUGAAUUUGGCAAAGGCACUCUAACAGAAGGUUCUAGUGUGCACCCAUUUGACCAAGUUAUUCAGCGAGAGUUGUUUACCUAAAUCCAAGAAGGUCUCAUUUUACACUAUGAGUAUACUGAGGCCUGACAAUUCCACAUAUAUUGAGUAUAUUGUUUUUCUGUACAGGAAAAAAGAAAGCAUUUUGGAGGUCCUUCAUCUCCCCCCCCCCCACGCACGACAUAUUCAGUCUAACACACGCACGACAUAUCUGCAACGAUAUCCCUCUCUCCACUACAAUCUUGAGGAAAUGUUGGGGGUGGCAGCUUCAGUCUAACAUCAAUGUUUUAAUAUAUUACUGGUACAUAGGUGUCCCUAAGGAAGUUAUCAAGAGAGCAUCAUUUGUACUGGGAGCUAUUGGAAAUAAUAAGCAUGUCGAGCGAUUGUGCAAUGAGAAUAUAUCAAUUCAGGAUCAGCAAUACCAGAAAAUAGUGGACAAGAUGUUGGCAUUUAAUGUUCACCAGGGUGAUCUUGGCCUGUUCUUUCGGGACUUAUUUCCUCCAUCCUAAAAAAGUGCCAGAAGUGACUUCGCCGUUUUGUGGUCGUGAUGAACUCAGAAACUCAGAGAGGUUGCAGUCCGACCCGGAUAGCAAUGUGUGAGGCAUUAUCUCCGUCAUUGGUGGAUGAUAAAGUUUACCUUACUGAUCUAUCCAAUAGAAAUGUUGAUUAAUGCUCAGAUGCAGAGGUGUACAUGGCAUGUAUACGGCACGGCCAUCGAGUGUUUGCUCAAUCUUGCAUGUGAACAAGAUAUUUGAAGUAGGGGUUUCUGAGAGUCUUCAAGAGCAUGAAAAGUACCUGAAUUUGGACAUUGUUGAGAAGUUAGAUGAGCUAAGGCAAAUAUAUGAGGAAUUGCCUGAAUUUUCUGGAGGAUGUGAUCAACUGUUACAUAACCAUCUUAUCAGAAAGAUGAUUAAAAGAGAGACUUUUUCAGUAUUACAAGGGCAAGCCUGUUUCUUGUAUUGUUUUUCUUGCCCAUAUAGGAAGUUUUGUUCUGGCAUAUGCUGCAACUGUGGGUUUGACUGAUAGAAUAUUCUGCACAAUGGGAAGGAAGCUCAUGAUGCUAGAGCAAUCAACAUUCGUGAUUGACCUACAUCAAGUAGGGAUGAUGGUAAGACAAUCUCAAGAGUGGAAGGAUAAGCUGGUUGGGAAGGAUGAUGUAUCUAUGACUUGGCUUUAGAGUAAACGUCAAUAGAAGGUUCAGAUUAGUGUUUUGAUAAGGACCUGAAAACUUUCAUUAUCAGUUAUUGGCUUAUGAUAAUUGAAACAUGGAGGGUUCUUUCUUGAGUUGACCUCAUAUAUGCAGCAAGACCUAUGAGUACGGCAUGUCCACUGAAAACUAAGAAACAUGCAGGGUUCUUUCUUGAGUUGACCUCAUAUAUGCAGCAAGACCUAUGCUGCUCAGAUGCCCUCAUGAGGAUAAGGAGAAUUGUUGACUGAGCCAUUUCUAUAUCUGAAAAUACUUCACAAAUCCGAGAAAAAUAUAGUGAAAUUGCUCUUCGGUUUCUGUCCUUGAGCUAUGCCACGUCAACCCUGUCAGUGGAGAUCAUCCGCAAGAAUGCAACUUUUUGAACAUGUUAUUUCUUGGAGAAAUGCAGUGCUAAUUGAAGCAGGUUUCGCUUCUGCAUAUCUUUCUGAUAACAGAGUGAAUAUGGCAGGAUUUUAAGGUGAAAGCAGGUUUCGCUUCUGCAUAUCUUUUUGAUAACAGAGUGAAUAUGACAGGAUUUUAAGGUAAAAGCCAAGCGGCAAACUUCAGUCGGAAAGAAAUUAAUGGCCAAUCAUGUCUGUGUUACAGUGAGCUCUUUCAAUAUGUAAUUGAAACAGAAUCAGAAUGGCAAAGCUUGGACUAUGUAAUUGUUUGCUGUGGCAUGUUUGUCCCUUGCAGCUUUGGCCCUCUGUGCCAAUAUCUAUCAAGAAGAUACUUAGAUCGCUUCCAUUAGGCUUCUAAAAUACCUGCAUACACCGUGGAAUUAGAAGCCACCGAUAAACUUGAAGACUCAUGAAACUUUGAAGCAAAGGCUGAAAAGAUCCAAAAAGAUCAAGAAAGAAAGGAAGAAGGUGAGGGAGGUGGGGAUCUUGAUCUUGAAGAUGGACUCUGAGACCCUGAAAGAGCAGAUUGGUAGAUUGAAUAAUUAGAGCAUACACUGUGGAAUUAGAAGCCAGGUGAAUACACUAUGGAAUUAGAAGCCAGGUGAAUAAACUUGAAGACGGGAAUGAAACUUUGAAGGAAAGCCUGAAAAGAUCCAAAAAGUUUCUCUGCACCCGGACUUGAAGGUGAAGAGAACUUUGAUGGAUCGAGAUGGUUAUUUCACCAACUAACUGAAAAAAACUGUUCACUGGAUGUAGAAGGCCAGCUCUAGGUCUGCUUCUGUUUGGUCUACCUAGUAAUAGAAAAACCAUGCUUGCUAAGUUGCCACGCCACAUUGAAUUACAUGUUGCAGGAAGUACUCAGAUCAAUGAGCCUGACAGCUUAUAUGGAUUAUACAGUCACACAAGUUAACUUCUCAAAUCAUUACCUGAGGAAAACUGGAGCAAGGCCCUUGAAUAGUAUGAUUUGCAAAUACGUUCAGCUGCUUUAGUACUAGUGGAUUUUGGUUCCAGGAAGUUACUGGAACAGACUCAACUUGAUAACUUUCCCAAUUCCACCCUGGAAGAUCUGAUGAAUUAGAGACCAUAUAAAGGUCCAACUAGAUCAUUGCAGCAAACUGUUGUCUGCACGUCUUGGACAUUUAUUGCCAAGGAUUGACAAUUUCAUCAGGAUUUGGAGUUUAUCGAUUUGCAGCUUUUUAUCUGUACAUGUUCCUUUGUGUGUUUUGUGUGUUGGUAGUUUUCAGGUAUUUAUAAGAUGAUCCUAUGAUUAGAAUAACAAUUUGUAAUAUUAAAACAGAGAUACAUUAUUGUUGUAGCAGAGACAUAUAUCAGCUCUGCUCGAUGGAACACCACAGUUGUAAAAGCCGAUGCUUAUACGCACAUUGGAAAUUUAAG